UGGCUCAGAUGGUAAAGUGUCUGCCUGCAAUGCGGGAGACCCAGGUUCAAUUCCUGG
rfam:TPA: Bos taurus chromosome 3, whole genome shotgun sequence.